UACGAAGGGGGCUAGCGUUGUUCGGAUUUACUGGGCGUAAAGCGCACGUAGGCGGACUUUUAAGUCAGGGGUGAAAUCCCGGGGCUCAACCCCGGAACUGCCUUUGAUACUGGAAGUCUUGAGUAUGGUAGAGGUGGGUGGAAUUCCGAGUGUAGAGGUGAAAUGCGUAGAUAUUAGGAGGAACACCAGUGGCGAAGGCGGCCUGCUGGACGAUGACUGACGUUGAGGCUCGAAAGCGUGGGGAGCAAACAGG
rnacentral:rRNA from 1 species